UACGGAGGGUGCGAGCGUUGUCCGGAAUCAUUGGGCGUAAAGGGCGCGUAGGUGGCCCGGUCAGUUCGUGGUGAAAGCGCGGGGCUCAACCCUGCGUCGGCCAUGAAUACUGCCGCGGCUGGAGCACUGUAGAGGCAGGCGGAAUUCCGGGUGAGCGGUGGAAUGCGUAGAGGAUCCGGAAGAACACCGGUGGCGAAGGCGGCCUGCUGGGCCAGUUGCUGGACACUGAGGCGCGACAGCGUGGGGAGCAACAG
rnacentral:rRNA from 1 species